rnacentral:lncRNA from 1 species
AUGCAGUUCUUUGUAAUUUUCAGUUUCACAAGGGCAUGUUUUUCUCCAGUGUUCAUACUGGUACAGUGGACACAGGGUGCAGGUGCGAAGCCCAGGACCUUCUACUCUCCAGCUAAUUUAGAGCCUUCAGGGAGAACUACUGGGGAGUUCCGACGACUAUUGGACUUUGUCGCAGGUGGGGAGACCCCCGGGAAGAUGGACACCAGGAAAGCAGGACCCUCCACAGGUAAAAUGGAUUCAGUUUGCUGUGACAGGGAUAGUAAUGACAGGCCUCUCCUUCCUCAACCUCACUGCAGGAUAGAUGGUACUCUUCUCUCUAGCUCUGGAGGGUUAGGAAGACCUGACCGUGCACACGCUGCCGCUGGAAUGGACAGCCCCAUGCAGGCACUGAGCAGGCUCUUAUAUAGCCUUUUUGGCAGGAAAAACUGGUUCUGUCUGGUUUGAGCCAGAGGACUCCAGUGUCUAAGUUGCAAACAACUUUGCUUACAAGGAUGGAGUCCAAGGGUCAUAGUUCAUAUACUCCAUAUUAAAUUCUAUUAAAGCUAGUGAUUCACUUAACAUUACCUUAGAAAUACAUUAUUAAAACUAAUUGAACAUAUUAAACAACACCAACAUUUCUUACUUCUUUAUACCUAACAUAUGUAUGCAUUCUAGCCAAGCUGGUAGAAAAAGUUUUGCCAGUUGUUUCUUAGGUGGAAGUCCUCUUGCAUACUUUAGAGACAUUAGCUGCUGGCUUACCAAACCUAUAGUAUCUAACAGAAAAAGUAGUACAUGCAGCAUUAACUGUGUGGUGGAUUUACAUGCAUACAGUAUGUCAAAUUUUCACUGACAGGAAAUAUAUUACAGGAAAAGGUAUCAUAGAAUAUCAGGGUUGGAAGGAACCUCAAGAGGUCAUCUAGUCCAACCCCCUGCUCAAGGCAGGACCAAUCCCCAGACAGAUUUUUGCCCCAGAUCCCUAAAUGGAUCCCUCAGGGAUUGAGCUCACAACCCUGGUUUUAAGCAGGCCAAUGCUAAAACCACUGAGCUAUCCCUCCCCCCUUUAUCUUGCGCAUCAAGAGAAAAUAUAGGGGCAGAUCCUCAGCUGAGGGGAAUCAGCAUAACUCCUUCGAUGUCUCUGGAAUUACGCUAAUUUCCACCAACAGAUGGUCUGACCUAUGAUUUCUAACGUCACCCAUAUAACAUCAUACAAGCAACUACAGGACUAUUUGACUGUACUUAGAACAAUGGAUAGAAUAUAGCCAAAACCACUGAAAACGUACAUUUCAACAAACGUGGUUGGUUUGUAUUUUUUAAACUUAGAAAAGUCUUUUUGUAAUGGAAGAGGAGGCUUACUUUUGUCUGCAUAGAAGAAAGUCCCACCUCUGUAUUGUGGCCCUACAAAUAUUAAAUUAUGAGUCAUUCUUCUAAAUAAAACUUCAUGCCAUGCUGGAAAAUGUAUCA